UGCCAGCAGCCGCGGUAAUACGUAGGGGGCAAGCGUUAUCCGGAUUUACUGGGUGUAAAGGGAGUGUAGACGGAAGUGCAAGUCUGAAGUGAAAGCCCGGGGCUCAACCCCGUGACUGCUUUGGAAACUGUGCUUCUAGAGUGUCGGAGAGGUAAGCGGAAUUCCUAGUGUAGCGGUGAAAUGCGUAGAUAUUAGGAGGAACAUCAGUGGCGAAGGCGGCUUACUGGACGAUAACUGACGUUGAGGCUCGAAAGCGUGGGGAGCAAACAGGAUUAGAUA
rnacentral:rRNA from 1 species